GACGAACGCUGGCGGCGUGCCUAACACAUGCAAGUCAACUUGACUGAAGGAGCAAUCUGACAGUAGAGUGGCGCAAGGGUGCGUAACGCGUAAGUAACUUGCCCCAAGGUAAGGAAUAACGUCGAGAAAUCGGCGCUAAUACCUCAUAAUGCAGCGGAUCCGCAUGGAUAUGUUGUUAAAGGUUUACCGCCUUGGGAUAGGCUUGCGUCUGAUUAGCUAGUUGGUGUGGUAACGGCACACCAAGGCUACGAUCAGUAACUGGUCUGAGAGGAUGAUCAGUCACACUGGAACUGAGACACGGUCCAGACUCCUACGGGAGGCAGCAGUGAGGAAUAUUGGGCAAUGCUCGAAAGAGUGACCCAGCAACGCCGCGUGGAGGAUGAAGGGUAUUCUAUAUCGUAAACUCCUGUGAGAGCAGACGAAAGACAGAUUAUAAUCUGGAUGACUGUAUG
rnacentral:rRNA from 1 species